rnacentral:misc_RNA from 1 species
UCACCCCUCAAGCCUAGCUUGGUAUUGGAUGGUCGGUCGUGGUACCCCCCACAACCCCUCCUAAAAGUAAUGACGGCGGCCUGUUGCACCCCCGGUACAUUGAGCUUCUUCAUUGAGCACGUAUCGGUUUAAAAGGGUGGUGGGACCCCGGUCUUCUUCCUUAACUGGAAAAACUUCACUAA